UACAGAGGUCCCAAGCGUUGUUCGGAUUCAUUGGGCGUAAAGGGUGCGUAGGUGGCGGGGUAAGUUGGAUGUGAAAUCUCGGAGCUCAACUCCGAAACUGCAUUCAAUACUGCCUUGCUAGAGUACUGGAGAGGAGAUUGGAAUUUACGGUGUAGCAGUGAAAUGCGUAGAUAUCGUAAGGAAGACCAGUGGCGAAGGCGGAUCUCUGGACAGUUACUGACACUGAGGCACGAAGGCCAGGGGAGCAAACAGG
rnacentral:rRNA from 1 species